rnacentral:lncRNA from 1 species
AGACAGAUUUCACAAACCACAUUUGAAAGGUCAUUCAUAGAGAUUUUAAUUCUAUUUCAAUUUUCAGAAGUGGAGGGCUUUCAUACUGUACAUUGUCACAUGCCUAGACCUUUCUUAAUUCAUCAAGGAAUAACGGAAUAAAAAUUUAGCACUAAGAGGAGAANAAUUUAAGAGGACAGAGUCAAAGAUUGGUAAUAUCUUCUUGGCUAAUAACCAUCAAUUACGCAUCAGAUUUGAGUAAAAUUCAGUGAACAAAACUAUCCCAUGGUGACA